rnacentral:rRNA from 1 species
AACGAACGCUGGCGGCAGGCUUAACACAUGCAAGUCGAACGCGUGCAGCAAUGCACGAGUGGCGCACGGGUGAGUAACGCGUGGAUAUCUGCCUUUUGGUUCGGAAUAACCCCGGGAAACUGGGGCUAAUACCGGGUGGUUCCUACGGGAUAAAGAUUUAUCGCCAAAAGAUGAGUCCGCGUCCGAUUAGCUAGUUGGUGAGGUAAUGGCUCACCAAGGCGACGAUCGGUAGCUGGUCUGAGAGGACGAUCAGCCACACUGGGACUGAGACACGGCCCAGACUCCUACGGGAGGCAGCAGUGGGGAAUAUUGGACAAUGGGGGCAACCCUGAUCCAGCCAUGCCGCGUGAGUGAUGAAGGCCUUCGGGUUGUAAAGCUCUUUUGGCGGGGACGAUGAUGACGGUACCCGCAGAAUAAGCCCCGGCUAACUUCGUG